rnacentral:rRNA from 1 species
GAUGAACGCUAGCUACAGGCUUAACACAUGCAAGUCGAGGGGAAACGACAUCGAAAGCUUGCUUUUGAUGGGCGUCGACCGGCGCACGGGUGAGUAACGCGUAUCCAACCUGCCCACCACUUGGGGAUAACCUUGCGAAAGUAAGACUAAUACCCAAUGACGUCUCUAGAAGACAUCUGAAAGAGAUUAAAGAUUUAUCGGUGAUGGAUGGGGAUGCGUCUGAUUAGCUUGUUGGCGGGGUAACGGCCCACCAAGGCAACGAUCAGUAGGGGUUCUGAGAGGAAGGUCCCCCACAUUGGAACUGAGACACGGUCCAAACUCCUACGGGAGGCAGCAGUGAGGAAUAUUGGUCAAUGGGCGAGAGCCUGAACCAGCCAAGUAGCGUGCAGGAAGACGGCCCUAUGGGUUGUAAACUGCUUUUGUACGGGAAUAAAGUUGGCCACGUGUGACCAUUUGCAUGUACCGUACGAAUAAGGACCGGCUAAUUCCGUGCCAGCAGCCGCGGUAA